AGUGAACGCUGGCGGUAGGCCUAACGCAUGCAAGUCGAACGGCAGCACAGUAAGAGCUUGCUCUUACGGGUGGCGAGUGGCGGACGGGUGAGGAAUACAUCGGAAUCUACUUUUUCGUGGGGGAUACCGUAGGGAAACUUACGCUAAUACCGCAUACGACCUACGGGUGAAAGCAGGGGAUCUUCGGACCUUGCGCGAUUGAAUGAGCCGAUGUCGGAUUAGCUAGUUGGCGGGGUAAAGGCCCACCAAGGCGACGAUCCGUAGCUGGUCUGAGAGGAUGAUCAGCCACACUGGAACUGAGACACGGUCCAGACUCCUACGGGAGGCAGCAGUGGGGAAUAUUGGACAAUGGGCGCAAGCCUGAUCCAGCCAUACCGCGUGGGUGAAGAAGGCCUUCGGGUUGUAAAGCCCUUUUGUUGGGAAAGAAAAGCAGCAGGUUAAUACCCCGCUGUUCUGACGGUACCCAAAGAAUAAGCACCGGCUAACUUCGUG
rnacentral:rRNA from 1 species